AUAUCUGUGGCACAAUUGUAAGCACGUUUGGCUUUUAACCUAAAGGUUGGUGGUUCGAGCCCACCCAGGGACG
rnacentral:tRNA from 1 species